rnacentral:rRNA from 1 species
AGAGUUUGAUCCUGGCUCAGGAUGAACGCUGGCGGCGUGCCUAAUACAUGCAAGUCGAACGCUUCACUUCGGUGAAGAGUGGCGAACGGGUGAGUAAUACAUAAGUAACCUGGCAUCUACAGGGGGAUAACUGAUGGAAACGUCAGCUAAGACCGCAUAGGUGUAGAGAUCGCAUGAACUCUAUAUGAAAAGUGCUACGGGACUGGUAGAUGAUGGACUUAUGGCGCAUUAGCUGGUUGGUAGGGUAACGGCCUACCAAGGCGACGAUGCGUAGCCGACCUGAGAGGGUGACCGGCCACACUGGGACUGAGACACGGCCCAGACUCCUACGGGAGGCAGCAGUAGGGAAUCUUCGGCAAUGGGGGCAACCCUGACCGAGCAACGCCGCGUGAGUGAAGAAGGUUUUCGGAUCGUAAAGCUCUGUUGUAAGUCAAGAACGAGUGUGAGAGUGGAAAGUUCACACUGUGACGGUAGCUUACCAGAAAGGGACGGCUAACUACGUGCCAGCAGCCGCGGUAAUACGUAGGUCCCGAGCGUUGUCCGGAUUUAUUGGGCGUAAAGCGAGCGCAGGCGGUUUGAUAAGUCUGAAGUUAAAGGCUGUGGCUCAACCAUAGUUCGCUUUGGAAACUGUCAAACUUGAGUGCAGAAGGGGAGAGUGGAAUUCCAUGUGUAGCGGUGAAAUGCGUAGAUAUAUGGAGGAACACCGGUGGCGAAAGCGGCUCUCUGGUCUGUAACUGACGCUGAGGCUCGAAAGCGUGGGGAGCGAACAGGAUUAGAUACCCUGGUAGUCCACGCCGUAAACG